rnacentral:rRNA from 1 species
UACAGAGGGGGCAAGCGUUGUUCGGAAUUACUGGGCGUAAAGGGCGCGUAGGCGGCCCGCUAAGUCGAACGUGAAAUCCCCGGGCUCAACCCGGGAACUGCGUCCGAUACUGGUGGGCUUGAAUCCGGGAGAGGGAUGUGGAAUUCCAGGUGUAGCGGUGAAAUGCGUAGAUAUCUGGAGGAACACCGGUGGCGAAGGCGACAUCCUGGACCGGUAUUGACGCUGAGGCGCGAAAGCCAGGGGAGCAAACGGG